GAUGAACGCUGGCGGCGUGCCUAAUACAUGCAAGUCGAGCGAACAGACGAGGAGCUUGCUCCUCUGACGUUAGCGGCGGACGGGUGAGUAACACGUGGAUAACCUACCUAUAAGACUGGGAUAACUUCGGGAAACCGGAGCUAAUACCGGAUAACAUGUUGAACCGCAUGGUUCAACAGUGAAAGACGGUCUUGCUGUCACUUAUCGAUGGAUCCGCGCCGCAUUAGCUAGUUGGUAAGGUAACGGCUUACCAAGGCAACGAUGCGUAGCCGACCUGAGAGGGUGAUCGGCCACACGGGAACUGAGACACGGUCCAGACUCCUACGGGAGGCAGCAGUAGGGAAUCUUCCGCAAUGGGCGAAAGCCUGACGGAGCAACGCCGCGUGAGUGAAGAAGGUCUUCGGAUCGUAAAACUCUGUUAUUAGGGAAGAACAAAUGUGUAAGUAACUAUGCACGUCUUGACGGUACCUAAUCAGAAAGCCACGGCUAACUACGUG
rnacentral:rRNA from 1 species